CCUACGGGUGGCAGCAGUGAGGAAUAUUGGUCAAUGGGCGAGAGCCUGAACCAGCCAAGUCGCGUGAAGGAUGACGGCCCUACGGGUUGUAAACUUCUUUUGCCAGGGAGCAAAUGGGUCCACGCGUGGGCUUAGCGAGAGUACCUGAAGUAAAAGCGUCGGCUAACUCCGUUCCAGCACCCGCGGUAAUACGGUGGAUGCGGUCGUUAUCCGGUUUUAGUGGGUUUAACGGGCGCGUAGGCGGAAUAUCAAGUCAGCGGUAAAAAUUCGGGGCUCAACCCCGUCGUGCCGUUGAAACUGAUGUUCUUGAGUGGGCGAGAGGUAUGCGGAAUGCGUGGUGUAGCGGUGAAAUGCAGAGAUAUCACGCAGAACUCCGAUUGCGAAGGCAGCAUACCGGCGCCCAACUGACGCUGAGGCACGAAAGCGUGGGUAUCGAACAGGAUUAGAUACCCGUGUAGUC
rnacentral:rRNA from 1 species